AGAGCAGCAGAGGUGCGCUCAGAAUCACGCCCGUCGUCACAUUUGUCUGGAAUUGAUUGUGAGCGUCCGGGCGAUUCAAGCCGUCGUGAAGGAUCUGGAAUAAACGAAAGCGUUUCUUGAUAACGUAUCAUUGUCUUCAUCAAGCAAGAUGAUAAACAUUUGAGAGAGAGGUCGAAUGAAAUUCGAAGAAAAAUAUGUUGCGGACGUUUACGUUUUUGACCAUGUUCUCCCUGUUGGGGCUGUGAACCAAGUAGACCCGCAGCGUAUCCAGGGCGCCCUUACGAACCGCCGGCGCUGGAUGUCCCAAAUUAUUGAUCAGCUCCGGCACCACCGGUUGCAUGACCUUGUCAACGACAUCGAAAUUCAGCGUCGGCAGUACGUCCAUCAGCACCCGCAGGGCGUGUUGGCGCACUUCCCAUUCCGGGUCCCGAAGUCUCUCGGAGAUCUCGACGAAGGUAGCCUGCGUGUCGACCUCGGACGGGAACCUACGCGUACGCACCUGGCCGAAGACCAUCAGCUUGUUAAAGUUAUUUGCAUUUAAAAGGAAAAUUAGUCAAAGAAAAAUAGGGAUGGAAUCACACAAGCUUUAAUGUAUACUUAAAAUUUUGAGUCAAAUAAUCAAGUUUCUCUUUUAAAA